rnacentral:lncRNA from 1 species
UUAAUGGUUUUAUUCUUGUUUUAUCAUUAAAAAAAAUUGAAUUCAAAUCACAUAAGAAAAACUCAAUUAACAUCGCACAUAACUCCAUCGAGAAGGUAAAAUUAAAAUGAUAAUCUCAUUCAUCACUUCAAUUAUUAUUCAAAUACGCUUAUUUAUUUCAUCUCAAACUCAUAACAAUAACUGAAAAUAAAAACAAAAACUUCACUUAUUUUUAUUCUUGUUCUCAAAAUACUCGAUCUGCUCAUCAAUCUUUUUAAUAAUCUCAUCAAGCAUCUUAAUCUUACCCUUAAUCAAUUUUAAGUCCUCAUUCAGAUCUCCACUAGAACCGCCACUCGAUACUCCCUUUUCCAUAUAACCAUCAUUCUCACACUUGAGUAGCAAGUACUCUAUCUCAAGCCAUUUGUUAUUCUCAAUCUCAUCUUUCAGCGUCUUCUCCAACUCUUUGAUUUUUUCGUCGGCAACUUCGUCGGUAGUCAAUUCAUGUUGCACCUUUCUCUUCAUCGUGAUUUUUGCUUUUCUUCUUUUAUAUCUUUUAUUGUUUGGAUGUUUGGUGAUCGUAAGAUUAGACGGUGAAGUGAAACCUAUUUAUAUGUAAAUUGUUAGGAGAGAAUGGUGUGAGAUUGUAAUGAGAUGUGUGUGAACACGGGAAUAGAGUUAA